AAUAGAUACCCCGGUAGUCCACGCCGUAAACGAUGUCGACUUGGAGGUUGUUCCCUUGAGGAGUGGCUUCCGGAGCUAACGCGUUAAGUCGACCGCCUGGGGAGUACGGCCGCAAGGUUAAAACUCAAAUGAAUUGACGGGGGCCCGCACAAGCGGUGGAGCAUGUGGUUUAAUUCGAUGCAACGCGAAGAACCUUACCUACUCUUGACAUCCAGAGAACUUAGCAGAGAUGCUUUGGUGCCUUCGGGAACUCUGAGACAGGUGCUGCAUGGCUGUCGUCAGCUCGUGUUGUGAAAUGUUGGGUUAAGUCCCGCAACGAGCGCAACCCUUAUCCUUUGUUGCCAGCGGUUCGGCCGGGAACUCAAAGGAGACUGCCAGUGAUAAACUGGAGGAGGGUGGGAUGACGUCAAGUCAUCAUGGCCCUUACGAGUAGGGCUACACACGUGCUACAAUGGCAUAUACAAAGAGAAGCGACCUCGCGAGAGCAAGCGGACCUCAUAAAGUAUGUCGUAGUCCGGAUUGGAGUCUGCAAC
rnacentral:rRNA from 1 species